rnacentral:lncRNA from 1 species
CUUGAAGAUAAUUUCGACAAUGACCGGAGAGAAGUGGCCGGCCGGAUUAGAAGAAGGUAUAACUAUAUAAAUGAAAACAAGAAGAUGAAGAAGAAGAAGAUGAUUUAGAUAACAAAAACAAAAACAAGAUUACAACUAAAAGAAGAUGAAUAACAUACCUUGAGGAAACUUCGAAGAUCACCGGAGAUGGAUGAUGAAAAAUCGCCGGAGAGAUUUGGGGAUAGUUAGAGUGGAGUGGGAGAAGUGAAGAGGAUUUUGGGAGGAAAUAAAAUGAAACGAUUCUGGAAUUUUUUUCUUAUAUAAAAAAUUUCCG